rnacentral:misc_RNA from 1 species
UUUCCGUUGGUGAACCAGCGGAAGGAUCAUUACAGAGAUCUUGCCCUUCGGUGUAGACCUCCCACCCUGUGUUUUUUACGUAUGUUGCUUUUGCGGGCCGACACCGGGCUCUCGGCUUCGGCCGAGGGGGGCCUGCCAGAGAACCAACAACACUGUGUGUAGUGUCGUCUGAGUAUUAUUAAAUAAGUUAAAACUUUCAACAACGGAUCUCUGGGUUCUG